rnacentral:misc_RNA from 1 species
AAGUCAUAACAAGAUUUCGUAGGUGAACCUGCGGAAGGAUAAAUAUUAGAAAUAUUUUACUCAAAACUUUCGAUCUUAUAUACAGAGUGCAUGCAAUUUAUUCUGCGGUGAUUUAUCUAAUUUAAUUAUUUUUACAGAAAAAACUAUAAAUAAUCAAUCAUUGUUACUUUAUAUUUAAAAUUUUUUAAUAACUUUCAACAACGGAUCUAUUGGCUCCU